ensembl:lncRNA
CUCAGAUUUGGGCCUUCUAGGUUUCCACUGUUCCAGAGUCCUAAGGGUCAGAAGUCCUGAGGCCUCAGUAUUGAGCAUCUCUGUGGGUGGCAGGCAGGAUGCUCACAGCGGGUGUGCCCACUAGUCUGCAGCCUCCUUGAAAGCCUGGAUGCAGAGUAUGUUAAGAACCAUACUGAAGAGGUUUAUAGACUCCAACAGGAAAACCCACAAAACAGAUGAGGAAAACAGCUGUGAAGCCUGCCUACUGGUGAGACUGGUUCCAGGACUUGACUGAAUCUCUGUACCAUCUCCCUCUGGCACGGUCAGUGCUGCCACCAUCCCCCAGGAGUGACAACUGAGCCCAAUCAAAGGACACCUCUCAGAUACUCAUGCUCACAGUCAGGACACCCUAUGCUCGUCACCCUCCACCCCCAGCAAUAAAGAGCCAUUUCUGCACCUCC